rnacentral:rRNA from 1 species
GAUGAACGCUGGCGGCGUGCCUAAUACAUGCAAGUCGAGCGAACGGACGAGAAGCUUGCUUUUCUGAUGUUAGCGGCGGACGGGUGAGUAACACGUGGAUAACCUACCUAUAAGACUGGGAUAACUUCGGGAAACAGGAGCUAAUACCGGAUAAUAUUUUGAACCGCAUGGUUCAAAAGUGAAAGACGGUCUUGCUGUCACUUAUAGAUGGAUCCGCGCUGCAUUAGCUAGUUGGUAAGGUAACGGCUUACCAAGGCAACGAUGCAUAGCCGACCUGAGGGGGUGAUCGGCCACACUGGAACUGGGACACGGUCCAGACUCCUACGGGAGGCAGCAGUAGGGAAUCUUCCGCAAUGGGCGAAAGCCUGACGGAGCAACGCCGCGUGAGUGAUGAAGGUCUUCGGAUCGUAAAACUCUGUUAUUAGGGAAGAACAUAUGUGUAAGUAACUGUGCACAUCUUGACGGUACCUAAUCAGAAAGCCACGGCUAACUACGUG